CCCGUCGCGAGGCGGGAUCUGAAGGAAGCCGCAGGCAAAACGCUGGCCUGACGAACAGGAAGCGGAUAUUAGGCGGCGUAGCGGGGUGAGGUGGCCAAGAUCGCCGAAGCCCAAUACUUGCACGGAACGCUACGACGUAGAUCCGACAGGCAUAAGCGUGAAGGUCGCGCGUC
rnacentral:ncRNA from 1 species